CAUAGCUCUGUGGAGUAUACCUAGUAAAAGAACAAUAGUUACCCGACCCCCGUGGUGACUCGGUGAUCAUCUCUGUGCACUCGUUGCAGCGUCACGGGCGGCAGUGGUGAUGGUGGUGGCGCGGCACCUGUGCUCGGUGGGGGAGGCCGCGUGCUCUGCAUGGACGGCGGUGGCAUUCGGGGCCUGGUGCUCGCUCGCAUCCUUGAUUUCCUCUGGCGAAAGAACAAUCGCCGGAGCUUGGCUGAGCUCUUUGACUGGGUGGCCGGCACCAGCACGGGCGGCAUCCUGGCAAUCGCCAUAGUCCUCGGAUUUCAACCACCGAAAAUAAUAGGGACGUACUUACAAUUGAAGGACAAAGUGUUCCGAGGAGCCAAGCCACAUUCCACCAUAAAGCUGAAAGAGGCCAUGAGAAGUGUAUUUAAGAACGUUAAUCUUGGAUCCACCACACACCCAAGGGUGAUGGUGACGUCCACCAAGGUGGACAUUUUUCCAGUGGACCUGAUGUUGUUCACGAACUACAAACAUCCUGAAGCAGAGAAGCGCGGAGACUCCCCCGGUCUUUCAGGUGACGCAUCCCAUCAAUCGCACUGCCUUCUGGGAGUGUACAUAUGCAUUUUUUGCAGCAGCUGGGUUUCAACAUUUUUGUGUCUCAUCAGCAGAGUCGGGCCAGUAGAGCGGCAUGAGGGGUAGGCGGAACCCUCACCGGAAGAGGCUCCCUAGAACUUGCGCUGUUGUGAUUUGGUUUUUCUCGUCAUACCAGCAGAUCUCAUCGACCAUCGCAUGUCGGACCUUCCCGCGUGGCAGGCGGCCACGUGGACCAGCUCGGCGCCAUUCUUUUUCUCGCCGAUCUAUGACCUGGUGGAUGGGGGCCUCCUGGCCAACAACCCCACCAUGACCAUGCUGGCAGAGAUCUACUACCACAGCAGAGGCUUGAAGUCCAAGGCAAGGCCUAAAACUAAACUUUUAUUUUACCAAGUAAAGUCUCACUGAGCAACUAUCUAUUUUUAAGAAGCGACUUGGGCACUAAUGAUAGCUCAACGCAGUGGCUUAUUAUCCCAGCCAAAUACUCUCAACGCAUGUUUCUAAAUGUGGAGGGAAAGACUGGAGGACCCAGAGAAAAAUCCAUGCAAUCACGAGGAGAACGUGCAACUCCCCAUUACAGAUGUCAUGGUCGGGAUCGAACCCACGCCUUCCUGUAUACCAGGCAAGGUAAUUAACAUCUCUCCAUCGUGGCACCCACGUUGUAUGCUGCGCUGCGUUUGCGACGAAUUGUCUUCACCGUGACGUUCCAGGAGCCAGGUCUGGACGAACCCUCACUGAAGGUGGUGUUGUCCCUCGGCACUGGCAAAAAGCCCCCAGUGGAGGUCGGGCCCCCGUUCCCAGACUGCAACUGGGAAUUGAUCUUUUCAAAGCAUCGAAAAAAAAUGCUUCAUUGCAUCAGCUCCAGUCUGACUUUCACCGAAGCGCAUCACCUGAAGGCCGCUGAGGCGUGGUGCCAGACCGUCAAGGUGCCUUACUUCAGGAAGAACCCCGAGCUCGAAGACCACGUCGAGAUUGAUGAGACGGACAACACAAAGUUGCUCCAACUCAUAAAGGAAGUGGAUGACUAUAUACUCGGUGAUUUGGAUAACAUGUCACACAUCGCGAAGCUGUUAUCACCCCUCUAGGUCACUGGCGCUGCUGCAGCCAACAAGUGCCAGUAAGCUGGCACAGUUACAGGCUGCAGCUGCCAGUAAGGCCGGCACGUCCUCCUCACCUUGCGUCGUCCGCUGCUGAUAAAACGUCACGGCGUGAACCGAUUACAUUUGACAGGCGCCUCCCAGCGCCAACAAUGAGCUACGUUUGGCCACGAAUUCACUGUUGCCCAUGCUUUAAGUCACACGGUCAAUUUAAUAAUUUACACUGGGAGGCAGAUUGGUAUCGGCGGCGCAGUGGUGAUGCUCUUGCCUCGCAGCAAGAAGGGCCUGGGUUCGAUUCCCUAUUCAGGCAUCUUCCUUUGUGGAUUUUGUGUGAUCUCUCCCUCUGUUCUGCAUGGGUUUCCCCACUGGGUUCUUUCGUUUUCUCCCAUGGUUAAAAAAUAAUCCCCCACAUAAUGUAACUGGUAUUUACCAAAGCAUUCCGAUGCGUCCCAUUGCUGGAUACGUGUUACAUCUGUUUUCCGGCCUGCAUUUGCUUUGCUGUUGUGAUGGGAUUUCUCAUCAUUUGCAGAUUUGAACUGCGAGAUUUUUUUACGGGUUAAAGUUCCCCACUGUCAGAUGGUUGUCCACAGUGCACCGUGCCAAUUCCAAUCAAAAAUACCAGCGUGGCUUUUUAAAUUAAGAGUUGAUUGCUGGUUUAUCGGCUGUGUUUGGCUGGUCAGGGUAGUUCAGAGAGGCAAAUCUGUUUUAACGGUUGGUGAUAAUAUGCUGUCCGUGAGGUGUGGGCAAUCUAUCUGGAGUUAUGCUAUUGUGAUUCUAGCAAAGUGGUAGAAUGUUCCUGCAGAUACACCUCGUCGAUUGGACCUUAACCAUCUAUGUGUGUGCUGCUGCAAUUUAUUAAAUCGUUAAAGUUGAUCAUCUUAAUUUUCACACACAGCGUCUGUACAUAACACACUGUUAUCGGAUGCUUCUCGUCAUGAUGAAAUUCGCUUAUGUCUCAUGUUGUGGUGGUGGUAAAAAUAAAAUACAUUUAAAAAUUGAAGUUCAGGUUUAUUUUGUUUGACCAGGUGAGAAUUCAAGCAACUCAAUUGCA